UACGGGGGGGGCUAGCGUUGUUCGGAAUUACUGGGCGUAAAGGGCGUGUAGGCGGUUUGUUAAGUCUGGCGUGAAAGCUCUCGGCUAAACCGGGAGAGGUCGUUGGAUACUGGCAAACUAGAGGACGGUAGAGGCGUGUGGAAUUCCGGGUGUAGUGGUGAAAUGCGUAGAGAUCCGGAGGAACACCAGUGGCGAAGGCGACACGCUGGGCCGUACCUGACGCUAAAGCGCGACAGCAUGGGGAGCAAACGGG
rnacentral:rRNA from 1 species